rnacentral:lncRNA from 1 species
AUGCAGAAAGACGCCAGCAAGUUCGUGGAUCUGUGCGUGCUGCAGAAAUGCUCCACCAGCAACUGCAUCAUCAGUGCCAAGGACCACACAUCCAUGCGGAUGAACGUGGCCAAGGCCAGUGAGGUCACGGGCAGGUUUAACAGCCAGUUUAAAACCUGUGCUAUCUGCAGGACUGUUUGCAGGAUGGGUGAGUCAGAUGAUUCCAUUCUCUAAUUGGCCAUGGCCAAGGGCGUCAUCUCAACUAUUU